rnacentral:tRNA from 1 species
GCAGCUGUGGCCUACUGGUUAGCGCUUCGGACUUGUAACCGAAGGGUUGUCGGUUCGAACCCCGAUGGCUGAA